CCUACGGGUGGCAGCAGUGAGGAAUAUUGCGCAAUGGGCGAAAGCCUGACGCAGCCACGCCGCGUGAGGGAUGAAGGCCUUCGGAUCGUAAACCUCUGUCAGCAGGGAGGAACGGUCACUGUGCUAAUCAGCAGUGAAUUGACGUUACCUGCAGAGGAAGCACCGGCUAACUCCGUGCCAUCAGCCGCGGUAAUACGGAGGGUGCGAGCGUUAAUCGGAAUUACUGGGCGUAAAGCGCUCGUAGGCGGUAUGUCAAGUCAAGGGUGAAAUCCCCGGGCUCAACGUGGGAACUGCAUUUGAAACUGGCAAGCUAGAGUGUGUGAGAGGAUGGUGGAAUUCCAGGUGUAGGAGUGAAAUCCGUAGAUAUCUGGAGGAACAUCAGUGGCGAAGGCGACUACCUGGCAAAUAACUGACGCUGAGGAGCGAAAGCGUGGGUAGCAAACAGGAUUAGAUACCCUUGUAGUC
rnacentral:rRNA from 1 species